GUACUAUGCCGAUCGGGUGUCCACACUAAGUUCAGCAUCAAUAUGGUGACCUCCCAGGAGUGGGGGACCACCAGGUUGCCUAAGGAGGGGUGAACCGGCCCAGGUCCAAAACGGAGCAGGUAAAAAUUCCCAUGCUGAUAAGUAGUGGGUUCGCGACUAUGAAUAGCC
ensembl:misc_RNA Metazoa_SRP Metazoan signal recognition particle RNA